UCCCGAACUCAGACGUGAAACGGUGGCUCGCCGAUGAUAGUGUGGGGCUUCCCCAUGUGAACGUAGGUUACCGCCAGGG
rnacentral:rRNA from 1 species